rnacentral:lncRNA from 1 species
AUGGUCACUGAAGGAUCUUCAAUAAAUCAGUUACUUGGGAUUAAUUUUCCCAAUAAAAACCCUGUAAUCAAUAUGACCAUGAAAUCUGGGUCUGACUCAGUAGCUAAAGUAGAGUUUGCUUUUUCUGGCCAUUGUAGAAGCAGCUUGAAGAGUCAAGAAAACUUUUGGAGCUGUGAAAUGCAAGCUGAUGCCUUUGCUGGAUAUUCUGUUUCUCUUUUAGAAAGGCAAACUGAAAUAUAACUUCCUGCUUUUUUUGGUCACAUGGUAAGUUUAAAUAUUUAAAUUUGAUCCAAGAAUUCUUUUCUUUUUUAAAAACAUUUUUUAAUGAUUUACUUAUUCUUAUAUUUAUGUGCAUUGGUGUUUUGCCUGUAUGUCUGUAUUAGGGUAUCAGAUCCCUGGAACUGGAGUCAUAGACCUUUGUGAGUUGCCAUGUGAGUGCUGGGAAUUGAACCCAGUUCCUCUGUAAGAGUAGCCAGUGUUCUUAACCACUGAGCCAUUAUCUUUCCAGCCCAGAUGGAAUUUCCUGUUUCUUAUGUUUUUGUUUGUGGUGUAUGAGUGCAGGUAUAUGCUCUGUGUUGGGACAGAGGUCAGAGAAUGACAUGGGGCUUCCUCUUCUAUCACUCUGCCUUAUUCCCUUUGUACUGUGCCUCAGGACCCUGAAGCCCAUUGUUUUGGCUAGAUUGCCUGGCUAACAAGCUAGUGGGAUAUAUCUCUUUGUCCCCCAACACUGAGGGUAAGGGUACAUAUUUCCAUGCCUGGGUUUUUAUAUAAGUGCUGGGGAUUCGAACUGAGGUCUUCCUGUUUGGGAAACAAAUAUUCUUAGCCAUUGUUCCAUUUCCCAAACUCCUUCAUCAAGAAUUCCUUUCUUCUUUUCCUGCCCUGAGGCAGGGAUGUUGUGUGGUUUUUUUGAGACAGGGUUUCUCUGUGUAGCCCUGGUUGUCCUGGAAUUCACCAGGCAGGCCUCAAACUCAGAGAUC